AGUGGCGGACGGGUGAGUAACGCGUGGGUAACCUGCCUCAUACAGGGGAUAACAGUUAGAAAUGACUGCUAAUACCGCAUAAGACCACAGCACCGCAUGGUGCAGGGGUAAAAACUCCGGUGGUAUGAGAUGGACCCGCGUCUGAUUAGGUAGUUGGUGGGGUAACGGCCUACCAAGCCGACGAUCAGUAGCCGACCUGAGAGGGUGAACGGCCACAUUGGGACUGAGACACGGCCCAA
rnacentral:rRNA from 1 species